rnacentral:rRNA from 1 species
UACGAGUGCCUCAAGCGUUAUCCGGAAUCAUUGGGCGUAAAGGGUGCGCAGGCGGUUGGGUGUGUCAGAUGUGAAAUCCCGAGGCUUAACCUCGGAACUGCGUCUGAAACUACUCGACUAGAGUACUGGAGAGGGUAACGGAAUUCACGGUGUAGCAGUGAAAUGCGUAGAUAUCGUGAGGAACACCAGAGGCGAAGGCGGUUACCUGGACAGUUACUGACGCUGAGACGCGAAAGCGUGGGGAGCAAACAGG